rnacentral:pre_miRNA from 1 species
ACUUUUUAAGGGUUUGACCCAAAGCUCAUUGAAAUCAAUGGGAACACCUAAUUUUUCCAUUGACUUCAGUGGGUUUUGGAUCAGGCCCUAAAAGU